GGCAGUAUAGCUCAGUGGUAGAGCACAUACUUGGCAUGUACAAGGUCCUGGGUUCAAUCCCCAAUGCCUCUA
rnacentral:tRNA from 1 species